rnacentral:rRNA from 1 species
GAUGAACGCUGGCGGCGUGCCUAAUACAUGCAAGUCGAGCGAACGGACGAGAAGCUUGCUUCUCUGAUGUUAGCGGCGGACGGGUGAGUAACACGUGGAUAACCUACCUAUAAGACUGGGAUAACUUCGGAAAACCGGAGAUAAUACCGGAUAAUAUUUUGAACCGCAUGGUUCAAAAGUUAAAGACGGUCUUGCUGUCACUUAUAGAUGGAUCCGCGCUGCAUUAGCUAGUUGGUAAGGUAGCGGCUUACCAAGGCAACGAUGCAUAGCCGACCUGAGAGGGUGAUCAGCCACACUGGAACUGAGACACGGUCCAGACUCCUACGGGAGGCAGCAGUGGGGAAUCUUCCGCAAUGGGCGCAAGCCUGACGGAGCAACGCCGCGUGAGUGAUGAAGGUCUUCGGAUCGUAAAACUCUGUUAUUAGGGAAGAACAUAUGUGUAAGUAACUGUGCACAUCUUGACGGUACCUAAUCAGAAAGCCACGGCUAACUACGUG